CUUUACCACUGCGCCAAGGCUCCCCUUCUGCACUUGACAUAAGCUUGUCGAUAACAAAUCUGACAUGUUUUAUAAGUGCAUCUCUACUCAGUACUCACCCAACAACUGAAAUCCAUAACUUUGCAGAAACCGAUGGAGAGUAAAGAACACUGCAUGUAGUGUCUUCAGGUUGCUCCAGUUUUGCAAUUGCUCGCAACUGUCAGGUCUUGUUGUAUUUGUGAUGCAUAUGAAGAUACUUGGGAGCAUGCUCUACUUUAUUCUACAAUGUCUAAGUGCACCUGGGCUCUUUGGAUGAAGAUCUCAUGGAGAUGCUUGCAAGCCUGUGAAUCACUGAUCCAAGACAUUGGGGUUUCCAUAUAUGUAACAGCAUGUCAUAAGGUACUUAAUCACUUCACGGGUGGUAUUGUUGGCGCGUCGCAAGGUAUGAGAGCGUUUUGACAUGGACUGAUGCUACUGUCGGGCUUGUUAACUGUAUGCUGCUAGCCUGGAGUUCAUCUAUGAAGAGCAAUUUGCUUCUGGUGAUGGCGGAGCUCUAAAACACAGGAUUAGGGGAUGGAUCUUGCUGGGUCCAGGGGAGGUGAUACUGAACGCUGACACUGCUCUUCUCUGAGGCGAUUCCAUGGCAGCAGACACAGCUGUCUGCUGCGACCAAAAGAGCCUGGUAUAAUGGAAACUCUGGUGAGCGGCGAUGUUUUGAUUUUAUUAGGGUGGCUUCAGAUUGCUAAUUCCAUCACCAACUUUGUAGGAGACGAACAGGUGGUCUGACAUGAUGUUGAUCCAAGACAUGAAGAACCGUGCACAGGUUGGACAUGGUAGGUAGAGAUACAGAGGUAGCAGCUCCAGCUUAGCAUUGCUCGCUUUUACUCUGGGUGUUGAUGACCAUAUAUGGAAGGUA
rnacentral:lncRNA from 1 species